rnacentral:lncRNA from 1 species
CACUGCGGGGUUGGUAGCGUAGCAGAAAGUUCAAUACUUCAGCCUGGCCCCAUUGGUCCAGUUUUGACAUUCUAUCCAAAAAACAAAACAAAAGAGCUAUUUUAGCAACAAAAUUAGGACCAUUUCCAUGCCACUGCCAUAUGACCAGGUGGUUGUUCAUCAUAGCAAAGGGAGAAUUCUUAAAAAUAGGCUGUGCCAUAAUUAAGUCACUUUUCAUGUACUAUUUAAAGUUUACACAAAAAAGGCUUAAAAUUCCAAGAUGAGUUGUUAAUACAAAUGCACACUCCUCUAAGACCAAAGACAUGAUCAGCAUACACUGGGUCCAGGUUCCUUACAUUUUAAGACACUAUAAAUGGCUUAGUUUGGGGGACAUGACUAGAGAAGGGUAGAACCUAUUCCCACAGUAUAUUUCUAUUUCCCUAUAUCAAUAAGGGAAAGUAAGGCAAAUAAAAGAAAUUCUCUCAGUGGAAUGUGAGGGAGUUAAUAGUGGUUAACUGGCCGGGCGCAGUGGCUCACGUCUGUAAUCCCAGCACUUUGGGAGGCUGAGGCGGGCGGAUCACCUGAGGUCAGAAGUUUGGGACCAGCCUGACCAACAUGGUGAAACCCUGUCUCUACUAAAAAUACAAAAUUAGCCGGGCAUGGUGGCGCAUGCCUAUAAUCCCAGCUACUCGGGAGGCUGAGGCAGGAGAAUUGCUUGAACCCAGGAGGCGGAGGUUGCGGUAAGCCGAGAUAGCGCCAUUGCACUCCAGCUUAGACAACAAGAGCAAAACUCCGUCUCAAAUAAUAAUAAUAAUAAUGGUUAACUUUCUUUUCUACCCCACAUAAGUUGUUCAAUACUUUAAUACAUCAACAAGAUCCCACAAGGUAGCAGAUCUCAUAAUAAAAAGAGUGCUGAGGCAUCCAAACCGAUUUAAGAGAUGGUGAGCAAUGGGCUUAUUGAUGACAACGC